CAUUAUUUCAGGAUAUCCACCAAGAAGCAACCAAACAGAAAACUUGGUUGAGGUUAAUUCCAGAGGAAAAAUAUUCAAGAAUCCUUCAUUCUACAAGAGACUAUCAAUAUUCCUAUUAUUAUUAGCCUUAAUAUUCCUUAUCGGAUUAAUAGUUUUAGCCAUUUUAUAUACGAAUUCAAAACCAAAAAUCUGCAUAUCUAACGAAUGUUUGAAAACUGCAACGAAUUUGAAAUUUUCUUUGGAUCCCACUGUGGAUCCUUGUGAUAAUUUUUAUGAGUACACUUGUGGAAAAUGGUCAGAAGAGCACCCCAAUCAUGGCUGGUUCAGUUCCUUUUCUAGUUUCACUACAAUAAGUGAGAGGAUAGCGAUCUCUUCAUUGGAAGCAUUGACUACAGAAAACUCUGGACCAGAUGAUCCAGAAGCAUUGCAAAAAAGCAGAAAUUUUUACAAGUCAUGUA